GACGAACGCUGGCGGCGUGCCUAAUACAUGCAAGUCGAGCGGACUGAAUGGGAGCUUGCUCUUGUUCGGUCAGCGGCGGACGGGUGAGUAACACGUGGGCAACCUGCCCGCAAGACCGGGAUAACUCCGGGAAACCGGAGCUAAUACCGGAUAACACCGAAGACCGCAUGGUCUUUGGUUGAAAGGCGGCGCAAGCUGCCACUUGCGGAUGGGCCCGCGGCGCAUUAGCUAGUUGGUGAGGUAACGGGUGACCAAGGCGACGAUGCGGAGCCGGCCUGAAGGGGUGGACGGCCACAAUGGGAAUUGGAACAGGGCCAGACCUCUUCGGGAGGCAGCAAGAAGGGAACUUCCGCCAUGGGGGGAAGCCUGGAGGGGCGACGGCGCGUGGGCGGAGAAGGGCCUCGGGUCGUAAAGCUCUGUUGUGAGGGACGAAGGAGCGCCGUUUGAAGAAGGCGGCGCGGUGACGGUACCUCACGAGGAAGCCCCGGCUAACUACGUG
rnacentral:rRNA from 1 species